rnacentral:tRNA from 1 species
GCAAGCGUAGCUCAGUUGGUAGAGCAUCCGCCUGAUACGCGGACGGUCGUAGGUUCGACCCCUACCGCUUGCA